UGGGUUCUUUUAAUAGUUUUCUAAUGACCC
rnacentral:piRNA from 1 species